AGAAUCUUAAAAAAGAACAUGACCUCUAAGAGGCCUGAGAAAACAAUGACAUAGAAUGUGUCUGGCACCCCCAUAUUCCGAUAAAAUNACAAAACAUCAGAAACCAUGAACACUGCCAUCGUUGCCUGAAUGGCCGCAAUUAGUUUUCUUGCUGGAACUGUUUUCAAGUGAUGAUUGUAGAUGAUGCUCCACAGAAGCAAUGCCGCCUGGCCAAAAACCUUAGAGAUCCCUAGUAGUGAUGAAUCAAUCUUCAAAUAUUGUGUUUGAUAAAAGAACAUUGUUCCUGUCAGUGCUGGAAUCACAGCAUACGAUGCAGCAAACCAUGCUAUUGAGUAAGCAACCUCAGGUUUUUUUAAUGCAACAGAGAGCUGCGAAAGCUGUUUCACAAUCCCAGCAUUUGUUGAACUCUUGGGGAGGCUAAGAGAGCUUUCACGGACAGUAAUGGUUAUGAAAAAUUGGAGAGAAAGAAUUAGUCCAAAAAAGAGAAACAUAACUUGGGGGGAGUAUCUGGUAAUGGCUAUUCCACCCAGAAGGUUUCCAAGGACACCACCAGUAGAGGAAGCAACCCAAACAAAUGACUGGAGUUCACCAGAGGAAGAUGAUUGAGAUUUUUUAGAGGAGGUAGUGGGCUGUUUUCCU
rnacentral:misc_RNA from 1 species